rnacentral:rRNA from 1 species
AUUGAACGCUGGCGGCAGGCCUAACACAUGCAAGUCGAGCGAGCGGCGGACGGGUGAGUAAUGUAUGGGGACUGCCCGAUAGAGGGGGAUAACUACUGGAAACGGUAGCUAAUACCGCAUACUAUCGGAUAACCCAUAUGGGAUUAGCUAGUAGGUGAGGUAAUGGCUCACCUAGGCGACGAUCCCUAGCUGGUCUGAGAGGAUGAUCAGCCACACUGGGACUGAGACACGGCCCAGACUCCUACGGAGGCAGCAGUGGGGAAUAGUGCACAAUGGGCGAAAGCCUGAUGCACCCAUGCCGCGUGUGUGAAGGAGGCCUGAGGGUUGGAAAGUACUUUCAGUCGGGUGGCGUUACCGGCAGAAGUAGCACGGGCAAACUCCGUGUCAGCAGCCGCGGUAAUAC